GCCGAAGUAGCUCAGUGGUAGAGCAGAGGACUGAAAAUCCUUGUGUCGCCAGUUCAAUCCUGGCCUUCGGCACCA
rnacentral:tRNA from 1 species